GAUGGGCCUGCGGCGCAUUAGCUAGUUGGUAGGGUAACGGCCUACCAAGGCGACGAUGCGUAGCCGACCUGAGAGGGUGACCGGCCACACUGGGACUGAGACACGGCCCAGACUUCUACGGGAGGCAGCAGUAGGGAAUCUUCCGCAAUGGACGCAAGUCUGACGGAGCAACGCCGCGUGAGUGAUGAAGGUUUUCGGAUCGUAAAGCUCUGUUGCCCUAGACGAACAGCAAGGAGAGUAACUGCUCCUUGUGUGACGGUAUAGGAGAAGAAAGCCCCGGCUAACUACGUGCCAGCAGCCGCGGUAAUACGUAGGGGGCAAGCGUUGUCCGGAAUUAUUGGGCGUAAAGCGCGCGCAGGCGGUUAAUUAAGUCUGGUGUUUAAGCCCGGGGCUCAACCCCGGUUCGCAUCGGAAACUGGUUGACUUGAGUGUAGGAGAGGAAAGUGGAAUUCCACGUGUAGCGGUGAAAUGCGUAGAGAUGUGGAGG
rnacentral:rRNA from 1 species